rnacentral:rRNA from 1 species
UUAGAGUUUGAUCCUGGCUCAGGAUGAACGCUGGCGGCGUGCCUAACACAUGCAAGUCGAACGAGCAAAUACAUUUGAUUUCUUCGGAAUGAAGAUGUAGGCGCGAGUGGCGGACGGGUGAGUAACGCGUGAGUAAUCUGCCUCAUACAGGAGAAUAACACUAAGGAAUUGGUGCUAAUACUCCAUAAGCUCACAUUAUGACAUCAUAGAGUGAGAAAAGAUUUAUCGGUAUGAGAGGAGCUCGCGUCUGAUUAGCUAGUUGGUGGGGUAACGGCCUACCAAGGCAACGAUCAGUAGCCGACCUGAGAGGGUGAUCGGCCACAUUGGAACUGAGACACGGUCCAAACUCCUACGGGAGGCAGCAGUGGGGAAUAUUGCACAAUGGGGGAAACCCUGAUGCAGCAACGCCGCGUGAAGGAAGAAGUAUUUCGGUAUGUAAACUUCUAUCGACAGGGAAGAAACAAAUGACGGUACCUGAAUAAGAAGCACCGGCUAAAUACGUGCCAGCAGCCGCGGUAAUACGUAUGGUGCAAGCGUUAUCCGGAUUUACUGGGUGUAAAGGGUGAGUAGGCGGUCAUGCAAGUCAUAUGUGAAAUGUCAGGGCUUAACCUUGGCGCUGCAUAAGAAACUGUAUGACUAGAGUGCAGGAGAGGUAAGCGGAAUUCCUAGUGUAGCGGUGAAAUGCGUAGAUAUUAGGAAGAACACCGGUGGCGAAGGCGGCUUACUGGACUGUUACUGACGCUGAGUCACGAAAGCGUGGGGAGCAAACAGGAUUAGAUACCCUGGUAGUCCACGCCGUAAACGAUGAGUGCUAGGUGUUGGCCAGAGAUGGUCGGUGCCGCAGCAAACGCAAUAAGCACUCCACCUGGGGAGUACGACCGCAAGGUUGAA